UGCCCUUUCGUCCCCGCUCGUGUGAAAUGUACAUUGUGCAUUCAUCGGGUCCCAAAGGUUCAUAAUAAUGAUAAGGUACUGAAAGAUGAUUAGGAUCCCUGCGGGAGAAAAAAAAAAAAUAGAUGGAAGCCCCAGAUGUUCUAUUUUACUGAUUGAAAAGAUGUUAUCUUUAAUAAGCUGAUGGGCUCAAAUCCACUUUUACUCCCAGUUAAACCGCAUUUUCAGGUAUCUGCAUUUUUCCUGAAUAUUUAACACAUCAGAACGUGGCAAAGGUUUUUUUCUUUGCUCCUUCCUUUAAUCUCCUCCUCUCAGUUAAAUAAAGGACAGCAGUAGCUCAGAAAUAAGGGAGAGCGCUGCAGGGCUGUGCUACUACUCUGAAAUUUGAAGCAAACUGCUUAGGAGAUUUAUAUCUAGAUAGUGAUUUGUAAAAAGCUUUGCAGAGGUAUUUACCGGAAUAGGGGAAGAAAGGAAAAAGAAAGAUAGAGGGGCAGUGGUUAUCUGUGUCACAGCAGCUCAGCUGAACGCUCCCAGCACGGUGCACACGGGUGUGAGCGCACAACUUCAGUGAGCACAUCUGCACGCCAGGUCAGCGAUACGGCCCGGCUGCUGCUGGCUUUACGAUCAAAGAUGUAAUGCAUGAGUGAGUUGUUUGGUAUUUUAAAAUGGCAACUUUCACGUACGUAUGUGAGCUGAAAAUUCAGGCCGUUCACACUGACCUUGUGAGCCCAUCAGCAUUAACCAGCAGCUACUGGUGACACAUAGGAUAUGCCAAAGACACAUUAAAUAUUUAGGGUAGAGACCAUUUUAACAGUUUUAAUGUCAGUGUUUUGAUGCUGCAUUCUGUAAGAGACACAUGUAUUGUGUUCAUAAUGUAAUAAGCCACAGUGGUUCACUCUCCUUUUAUUCUCUACAUUAAACUAUACCCAUUAUGCCUUUUUUUGCUUUGAGCACAGUCUGACAAGAGCUCAUACAGCUCUCCCCGUCCUGAAUUCAAGGAGAGAUAAUUGUCCUAGACAGAAUAACCCAACUGUACAGUGCUCCUCAGUUAAAACCAACACACUAUUUUGUAGUGGCAGCAAAAGUAGCCCAAAGUUGAUUGAUUGAAAUACUGCCAUUUAGUAAAGCCUUGGAACUGCUCUAUAUGAAAUCCUGAGCCGAGUAAGGAUUGCAUGACAGAGCAAGAAAUCUCACGCAGAUUCAGAGCUGUCAGCUCUAAUAUCGAGUUGAUUAUUUUCAUUUUGAAGAGCUAAUAUUUAAGCUCAAAUUCAAUUGAAUGCAUCCACAAUCUGUCACUAUUCUGUCUUGGUCAUUAUUUUUACUGUGUAAUUCUGUCACCUACGCAAUUCUCUAAUUCUUCUUAUUUUACCAUUAUCCAUAUUGUAUACGCAGAGGUAAUGUAUGAUAUUACUGCUGCUUUCCAUUUGUACUGUAGAUUAACGUUUUAAUUCAAUCAGUUUAGCUUCCCAGUAACACAACAGGGUGAUCAAUCUUCCCACACCAGAAUAACAAUAAUACUGCGUUUCCAGAAUGAGAUGGAUUCUGAAUGUACUGUACAUAUUCUCACUGGAAUACAUAAGAGAGUAAAAAGAAAUCUUUUAAUUUCUCACCUGCAGAAGAUGUAUUUUUAAUGUAAAAAAUACCCUUCCCUCUACAUUCUUUCUGGGUACAACUGUUAGAUCUCAAUCUUCAAUUACAUUUUCAUAUAUAUAUAUAUAUAUAUAUAUAUAUAUAUAUUUUUUUUUUUUUUUAAGACAUUGGACCUUUUAUUACAAUCUGUAAAAUGAAUCAUUUCUAUCAUUGCUGUAAAUGUAACAGGAUACAUUUCUGUUUUCUUACAGCUAUUGAUCGCACAGACCCCUGCUUCUCAUUUGGACUUCUUUUCUUCACUCUAGAUGGAUUUUCCUCCUGUGUUCUCGAGGGUAAACCUAUAUUGCUUGGUGGAAAUUCACUGCUUUAAAAUUAUAAUUAGUAAAGUGGAAAUCUUAUCUCCAGCAGUCUUUGAAUAAAUGCAGUCACAGAGGAACUAAGUUAACUGCUCAGGCCCAGUACUGCACCGUGAGCCAGUCAGGCUGCUGUGCUGAUAGCAGAUCUGGUUAGCAUCCUCCUGCCUUGUUUUCUUUUGAAGUUUUGAGGCUUAAAAGUCCAAAUGUGUUUUAGGUUUAGGAACACCGAAAGGCAGUCAGAUACCUCCUGCUUCUUGUCUGAAGCCUUCUUCCUUUUGCGGCAGUUCUGGGAUCCCCCAGAUGUCAUGCUAGUAAGGUUUGGAUUGGAAUUCUGGCCUGAGUAACUACAGCAUAACUGAAAUUAACUGUACUGUGUUAUCUUCUAACUCUGCAAUUAGCUUGUGUCACCAGCAAAUGAAAUGCAUGAGUAAUUCCUAUGCGGAAAUUGCUUGCCACCUCAUUUAUUAACAUUAAAACAGAUGCUGUUUUAUCACUGACUGAUACUGGACAUUAAUCAGUAUUUUGUCAGGCUUCGCAUGCAUAUUAAUAUCACAGCUGGAAGGAAUCUAGGGAAGAUCCUUUGUAAAAUAUACUCUACUUCCUGCCUAAUCGCCUGCCAGCGCAGCAACAGCGUAACUGCUUGUACCCAAUGUCACUCAUCCACUGUUUGCCACUUCAGUGCACAUUUUCCCACAGAUGGUAUCCACCCACAGCGAAAGCUGAAAAUACAGCAAGCAGUGUUUGCCUCAAAGGAAACGAGACAGAAAAACACGGCCAUCCCAUCCCAUCUUCUGGUCAACCUCUCCCUUUACAAACAGGGCUGUUAUAAAGCAACCCACUGAAACUACAGGUGCUUGACUUGCUUCGUCAAAUAAUUCACACUUUGAAGGGUGAAUAAAAUGUAAUUAACAUGCUGAGUGAUGGGCAACGUGCUGCACCAGGACUCUUAAGUUUUCUGGAUGGUUUUUUUGCCUUCUAUUCCCAGGAGCUCAUUUCCUUGGCAUGCAUUCUAGCACAGUUUUCCAAACCAUCUAAGCAUUCUGUUAUUAAGUUAGUAAGGUAAUGAAGUGAGGUUUGGGUAUAAGGAACUAAAGGGCAUAGCUAUCUCCCAUGCAGUUUAUAUAAUCAUCUACGUGCAUCGAGUCCUCCGUACACCCCAGCAAAUGUAAGCAGCAACAACUGCUUCUUUGCAGUUGAUUUAAAGCAACUGAAAGUGGAGAGAGGAGGUAAAAAAACCCACUAGAUUUAAAAGCGGUGCCCAAAGGAAUAAAUUAAAGGAUUUCAAAUGCCAAUUUUCAGGCAAAUUAUCGCAGAUGGGAAAUGGCCUGGCAGUCAAAUGAGGAUUCUUCAUAGGAAAAUGAUCUGACUCCAUAAUUGGAGCAAAAAUUAUUCAUAUCAGUUAAAAUAAGGCUCAGAAUUAAGCUUUAAGUUUCUUUGAGUUCCAGAAUGCCCAUGAAAGGGGGGGAGGGAGGAAAAGAAGAAGGGGGAAGUUAAAGGGAUCUCUUCAACACCUCGAAUUUUCCUUGCAUGUGUGAGAACCCAGAGAUACCUGUAAGAAACCAACCUUGCACCACCGCAGAGAAUCCAACAGACAGGAACUGGUCUUACUACGAACUGCAUUAAGCUUUGUCUCUGUCCUUUGCAGAUGCUGCUGAGCAGCCACAAAGAAAAGCAGCAGCACCGCAGCUCCUGCAGGAGUUGUGGUGCUGUCUGCACACUGCAAUCUGGCUGCUGGUGUGAGGAAGCAAGAGGAAAAUCCUUGAGAUCCAUCCCAGGCAGAAGCAUUAAUAUCGAGAGCUCAGCAGAAACCUCCCAGGGAACGGCAUCACUCCAGGCCAUACAAUGCACUGCUUCUGCCCCCACAGCUACAUAAAUGUUCCUCCCUUACAAUGUCUGCCCGUGUUUCUUUUCAUCUUUCCUCUCUUUUUUCCAUGCUGCCUAUUCAUUUGUUUUCAUCUCCUGUUUUAAUCUUUUAGUCCUUCACGUGUGCUGCAUGUGCCCUACAAAGCAGUGGUUCCUGCAAAGCCUGCAGCUGCUGAAAUGCAAUAGGACCCAUACAAUGAACGAGGCUGUGUUCUGCUAGGAUCCAUGUGCCACUGAUUCAUGCUGGGUGCCUAUGACGGACCCCACUACAAAGCUGUUCUAAUGUUAUUAAUGUCUCAGACUCCUUGAGAAUAUUUUGGGAGCCAAGACUGGGCCUGGUGUCUGUGCAGAAAAAGAAAUGCUUUCACCCCAUGCAUGGCUGUUGGCCUCCAGCUCCAAAUGGGUAAUCCAGAGUUAGAAAGCAGCAGUUUGCCUCUGAUUGCACUGCAGCUGUCCAGAAAGAAAUGGACCUGAGCUCCUCAUGGACUGAAAGACUGGAGGUGAGCUGGUCCUCAGAAAUGGGGAUUUCAAAUGGUCCUACCCUGAAAAGAGUAAUCUGGGGCAGGAUGCAGCAACGUGCAGGGCUGACUGUUAGGGCUGAUGGUGGCCCACGCUAUUGCUCUGCUACAACUCUUUGAACUUUCAUGCUGCUGUAAACACUGGGCAUACUAAUAAUCCUUUGCACUUUUCCUAAAAGGGUCAAAUGUUUAUUUAAUUAAUAACAGAUUAUAACCUCCUUGCUUUGCUCCAUUCUGUGUGAACAAAUCUGGAAAAGACUGUACCACAGCUGACCUGGCAGGGUACCCUCCUUGUUAUCCUUCCCUCUCGUUCUGCAAGAAGCAGAGUCUAGCAGAGAAUCACAAGCACUGUUCUGAGGAUGAAGAGGAAGGGACCUUUAAUGGUCAGAAACUGAACAGGUAACUGUGUGGGCUGGUGUUAGUGUGAGUCAGUCAAGUAGGGAGAUGCUUAGUUUGAUCCACGGUAACAGAACUCUGAAAGAAAAGCAGACGGGGUACAAUGGACACCAAGCUAAGAUGCAGUCACCCCCAGCUACUAGGAUACAACUUCCCAGCCACUGGCUCUGCCCAAAACACAAAUCUGGUGCUCAAGUCUUCUGUCUGCGUAGGACCAAGCCCAGCUUCAGGCUGUGCUGCAUAUGUACACUAUUGGUAAAACUAGAGAAUCUCACCAUGAGUUACUGUGCAAUGGAAGCCACCUCUUCAUUUGAACCUCAGUAGAGACCCUGUUUGAUUUUUUACAGCUACAUAUUUAAUAUUUAAAAAACAGGAAUUCAUUAAAAAUAAAUGUGUUUCUCUCUAGGAAGUCUUUGGCUUAAAUGCCCAUUUUUCAAACACUGUAUGUGAAAAUGCUCAAGUCCUGCAGUGGGUCACCUAUUAAAAUUCUGAUUUGAAGAUGAGCCUACAAGUCAUAAACAGUCUCAUAAAGAUGUAACUAUCAUAACUUUCCUUUUCCCAGUUGGAACUGUAAGGCAAAUGCUUCUGAAGCACCUAAUGUAUGACUAAUGUUUGUUUGUUUUACAUGAAGUUUUACAGCUGCAGUGUUCCAAGAAUGCUUAAAUUCAAUAAACAGCUAUUAUAAUUCA